rnacentral:rRNA from 1 species
GAGUUUGAUCCUGGCUCAGGAUGAACGCUGGCGGCGUGCUUAACACAUGCAAGUCGAACGAACCUUCGGGUUAGUGGCGGACGGGUGAGUAACGCGUGGGAAUCUGCCCUCAGGAGGGGGAUAACGGUUGGAAACGACCGCUAAUACCCCAUAUGCCGAGAGGUGAAAUGAAUUUCGCCUGAGGAUGAGCCCGCGUCUGAUUAGCUUGUUGGUGAGGUAAUGGCUCACCAAGGCAUCGAUCAGUAGCUGGUCUGAGAGGAUGAUCAGCCACACUGGGACUGAGACACGGCCCAGACUCCUACGGGAGGCAGCAGUGGGGAAUUUUCCGCAAUGGGCGAAAGCCUGACGGAGCAACGCCGCGUGAGGGACGAAGGCCUCUGGGCUGUAAACCUCUUUUCUCAAGGAAGAAGAUAUGACGGUACUUGAGGAAUAAGCCACGGCUAAUUCCGUGCCAGCAGCCGCGGUAAUACGGGAGUGGCAAGCGUUAUCCGGAAUUAUUGGGCGUAAGCGUCCGCAGGCGGCCUUUCAAGUCCGCUGUUAAAACGUGGAGCUUAACUCCAUCAUGGCAGUGGAAACUGAUCGGCUUGAGUAUGGUAGGGGCAGAGGGAAUUCCCGGUGUAGCGGUGAAAUGCGUAGAUAUCGGGAAGAACACCAGUGGCGAAGGCGCUCUGCUGGGCCAUUACUGACGCUCAUGGACGAAAGCCAGGGGAGCGAAAGGGAUUAGAUACCCCUGUAGUCCUGGCCGUAAACGAUGAACACUAGGUGUCGGGGGAAUCGACCCCUUCGGUGUCGUAGCUAACGCGUUAAGUGUUCCGCCUGGGGAGUACGCACGCAAGUGUGAAACUCAAAGGAAUUGACGGGGGCCCGCACAAGCGGUGGAGUAUGUGGUUUAAUUCGAUGCAACGCGAAGAACCUUACCAGGGCUUGACAUCCUGCGAACCUUUAAGAAAUUAGAGGGUGCCUUCGGGAACGCAGUGACAGGUGGUGCAUGGCUGUCGUCAGCUCGUGUCGUGAGAUGUUGGGUUAAGUCCCGCAACGAGCGCAACCCACGUUUUUAGUUGCCAGCAUUUAGUUGGGCACUCUAGAAAGACCGCCGGUGAUAAACCGGAGGAAGGUGUGGAUGACGUCAAGUCAUCAUGCCCCUUACGUCCUGGGCUACACACGUACUACAAUGCUACGGACAAAGGGCAGCAAACUCGCGAGAGCUAGCAAAUCCCAUAAACCGUGGCUCAGUUCAGAUCGUAGGCUGCAACUCGCCUACGUGAAGUAGGAAUCGCUAGUAAUCGCAGGUCAGCAUACUGCGGUGAAUACGUUCCCGGGCCUUGUACACACCGCCCAUCACACCAUGGAAGUUGGCCACGCCCGAAGUCGUUACUUUAACCCUUGUGGAGAAGGACGCCGAAGGUGGGGCUGAUGACCGGGGUGAAGUCGUAACAAGGUAACC